AAGGCUGAAACUUAAAGGAAUUGGCGGGGGAGUACCACAACCGGUGGAGCCUGCGGUUUAAUUGGAUACAACGCCGGGAAUCUUACCGGAGGGGACAGCAGUAUGAAGGCCAGGCUAAAGACCUUGCCAGAUCAGCUGAGAGGAGGUGCAUGGCCGUCGCCAGUUCGUACCGUGAGGCAUCCUGUUUAGUCAGGCAACGAUCGAGACCCGCAGUCUUACUUGCCAGCAUGCCCUUUGGGGUGUAUGGGUACAAUAAGACGACCGCCAGCGCUAAGCUGGAGGAAGGAGCGGGCUACGGUAGGUCAGCAUGCCCCGAAUCCUCCGGGAUACACGCGGGCUACAAUGGUCAGGACAAAAGGUACCGGCCUCGAAAGAGUGAGGUAAUCCACAAACCUGAUCUCAGUCCGGAUCGAAGGCUGCAACUCGCCUUCGUGAAGAUGGAAUCGGUAGUAAUCGUGACUCAAAAUGUCACGGUGAAUAUGUCCCUGCUCCUUGCACACAC
rnacentral:rRNA from 1 species